rnacentral:tRNA from 1 species
UCCCUGGUGGCUCAGAUGGUAAAGCAUCUGCCUGCAAUGCGGGAGACCUGGGUUCAAUUCCUGGGUCGGGAA